rnacentral:lncRNA from 1 species
GCCCCAGACAUUCAACUGAGGGCCCGGAUCCCAGAAGUUUCCCACGCAAGUCCAACUAAAGGCUUAGAGCCCAAGCAAAGGGGAAUUAAGGCUGUAAACAGAAUCAUCAAGGCUGUCAGUCAGCUGACCUUCACAGGCAGAGACUCUCCCGAAUCACCUCUGAAAGCGCGACAGCCUGAAAGGCAGCAGAGGGAAGAGAAGAUUAAAGUCAGAAGGUGCAGUUACAGGAGGGAACUGUGAGGCAGGAGACCUCAGCCCGCUGUGGCAGCCUUUGAAAAAGCAUCCUCUGUCAGGCAAGGCAUGGAGA